AGCCCUGGGUUUGAUUCCCCAGCCCAUGCAAAUCAGGCCUGGUUGUCUUUGUUGGCCCACUUGUUUACAAGUGUUGUAUAGUUUUUACAUAUUUGUGAGAUAUUCAGGUUUCUUUCUAUUUAUUUUAGUUACAAUCCGUUGUGGUUAGAAAAGUUAUGUGGCAUGAUUUUAAUCUUCCUAGAUUUACUGAGACUGCUUUAGUGCUAAUAAGCAAUCAAUUCUUGAAAAUGUUCCAUGUGCACUUGAAAAAAAAUGAAUAUUCUCUUGCUGUUGGAUAGGUUUUCUCUCUCUCUCUCUCUCUCUCUCUCUCUCUCUCUCUCUCUCUCUCUCUCUCCUCCCUCCCUCCCCACCCUCCCUCCUCCCCUUCCUCCCUCCUGUGUGUGUGUGUGUGUAUGUGUGUGUGUGUGUGUGUCUGUUACUGGGAAACAGGAAUUUGUUUUUGUGGGUCUUUAACCUUGUAGAUAGGAGAAUUUAAAAGCAGCCACAGAAAGGACCAUUUCACUGAAGUUUGAAAGAAAAGCAACAUAGCAGACAAGCUAAACUUGGUGGCUUCUGGAAGAAGGCAGAUGGAUUUGAGGAAAAGGUAUAGCCAUGCCUUGAGUAUACCCAUGCUAAAACAGGCACAUGGAGCACUGACAGUCAGUAAGCAGCUGCAUGAAGUGGGGACUUCAGAGAAGCAGGAGAACUUGACUGCUUGACUGUAUUUGUCUAGAAGACUAACUCCAUUUGAGCCAGCAUUCAAGGAACAGAACAAAAGUGGGGCAAAGGACACAUUAUGCUGUUUUUGUUGGAACUCAGAAAAGCAGACAAGCUUAGGAGUGCUUAGGACAUUAAUUAAUCUGC
rnacentral:lncRNA from 1 species